rnacentral:tRNA from 1 species
AGCAGCGUGGCUCAGUGGAAAGAGCGCCGGCUUUGGAGUCAGAGGAUCUGGGUUCGAAUCCCAGAUCUGCCA